rnacentral:rRNA from 1 species
CGGCGUGCCUAAUACAUGCAAGUCGAGCGAACAGAUAAGGAGCUUGCUCCUUUGACGUUAGCGGCGGACGGGUGAGUAACACGUGGAUAACCUACCUAUAAGACUGGGAUAACUUCGGGAAACCGGAGCUAAUACCGGAUAACAUAUUGGACCGCAUGGUUCAAUAGUGAAAGGCGGCUUUGCUGUCACUUAUAGAUGGAUCCGCGCCGUAUUAGCUAGUUGGUAAGGUAACGGCUUACCAAGGCAACGAUACGUAGCCGACCUGAGAGGGUGAUCGGCCACACUGGAACUGAGACACGGUCCAGACUCCUACGGGAGGCAGCAGUAGGGAAUCUUCCGCAAUGGGCGAAAGCCUGACGGAGCAACGCCGCGUGAGUGAUGAAGGUCUUCGGAUCGUAAAACUCUGUUAUCAGGGAAGAACAAAUGUGUAAGUAACUGUGCACAUCUUGACGGUACCUGAUCAGAAAGCCACGGCUAACUACGUGCCAGCAGCCGCGGUAAUACGUAGGUGGCAAGCGUUAUCCGGAGUUAUUGGGCGUAAAGCGCGCGUAGGCGGUUUUUUAAGUCUGAUGUGAAAGCCCACGGCUCAACCGUGGAGGGUCAU